rnacentral:rRNA from 1 species
GAGUUUGAUCAUGGCUCAGAACGAACGUUGGCGGCGUGCUUAACACAUGCAAGUCGAGCGAGAAAGUCUCUUCGGAGGCGAGUACAGCGGCGCACGGGUGAGUAACACGUGAGUAACGUACCUUCGGGUGCGGGAUAACCUUCCGAAAGGAUGGCUAAUACCGCAUGAGACCACAGGGCCUUAUGGCGUAGCGGUCAAAGCUUUAUGUGCCCGAAGAUCGGCUCGCGGUCCAUUAGGUAGUUGGUGGGGUAAUGGCCCACCAAGCCUGAGAUGGAUAGCUGGUCUGAGAGGAUGAUCAGCCACACUGGAACUGAGACACGGUCCAGACUCCUACGGGAGGCAGCAGUGGGGAAUAUUGCGCAAUGGGCGAAAGCCUGACGCAGCAACGCCGCGUGUGUGAUGAAGGCCUUCGGGUCGUAAAGCACUGUCAGGAGGGAAGAACGAAGACGGUACCUCCAAAGGAAGCACCGGCUAACUCCGUGCCAGCAGCCGCGGUAAUACGGAGGGUACAAACGUUGUUCGGAAUCAUUGGGCGUAAAGCGCACGUAGGCGGCUCAUUAAGUCUGAUGUGAAAUCCCGGAGCUCAACCUCGGAAUGCCAUUGGAAACUGGUGAGCUUGAGAGUGAGAGAGGUUAGUGGAAUUUCUGGUGUAGGGGUGAAAUCCGUAGAGAUCAGAAGGAACACCGGUGGCGAAGACGACUGACUGGAUCAUUUCUGACGCUGAGGUGCGAAAGCAUGGGUAGCAAACAGGAUUAGAUACCCUGGUAGUCUACGCUGUAAACGAUGUUCACUAGUUGCUGGGCGCCUUGGUGUGCUCAGUGACGUAGCUAACGCGUUAAGUGAACCGCCUGGGGAGUACGGUCGCAAGAUUAAAACUCAAAGGAAUUGACGGGGACCCGCACAAGCGGUGGAGCAUGUGGUUUAAUUCGAAGCAACGCGCAGAACCUUACCUGGGUUUGACAUGGGAGGAAGUUUCGGUAAUGCGAAACGUGCCCUUCGGGGAACCUCCGCACAGGUGCUGCAUGGCUGUCGUCAGCUCGUGUCGUGAGAUGUUCGGUUAAGUCCGGCAACGAGCGCAACCCUCGUCCUGAGUUGCCAGCAAGUAAUGUUGGGCACUCUCGGGAGACUGCCGAUGUGAAAUCGGAGGAAGGUGGGGAUGACGUCAAGUCCUCAUGGCCCUUAUGCCCAGGGCUACACACGUGCUACAAUGGGCGGUACAAAGAGUCGCGAAGCCGUGAGGCCAAGCCAAUCUCAAAAAGCCGUCCUCAGUUCGGAUUGGAGUCUGCAACUCGACUCCAUGAAGGUGGAAUCGCUAGUAAUCGCGGAUCAGCAUGCCGCGGUGAAUACGU